GGUAGUCAGGAAAGGCCUCCUGGAGACUCAAGCAGAGACCCAAAGGAAGGGAAGGAGCGGACGGGAUGAGAGAAGAGCAUCUGGAACAGGGCGUGCAGAGGCCCAGGGCCAGGGCUGUCGCUGGCCUAUUCUGGCGCUGGGAGUGUCGCAGCAUUGAUGAGAGUAGCCUUGCGGCAACGCCCCUCUUAAACAUCAAAAACACAGCGGUCACACAACCAAAGAUGAAGCCACUCUUCCGAGAGUCUCCAUCCAUCCAUCCCUCCUCCUCCAGCCUGACUGCCUGCCCAGCCCACCAAGACAGCAGGGCUCCAGAGCUUCUGACCCGCCUGGGGCAACGGUGGGCCAGGGAAGGGUUGUGGACCACUGCAACCUGUGAACCCAGUCCUGGAGGGGUGCUGGGCAAAGAUGAGGCCCCCGCUGAGGGGCCUCACACACCUGCUGGAGGCUCAGCUGUGCUGAAACCAGGCAGCUCUUUGCAGGAUAAAAGGGAGAAAUUUUGUUUAAGACGUCGCCCUCUGGUGGCCAUGUGCAGUGUCCUGGAGGGAGCCCUGGGAGGGCUGAGGCCCUAGCUAGGGCAGGAGGAGAGAGUUCAGUCACCCCACCACAAAAGAGGACAGAGGUUCUGUGUCCCCUGCCACCCAGACCCUCACACUGCCGCUGUGUGCUGAGCCUGUCUCUGCCCCCGCUGUUCCCUCAGCCUGGUCCCAACCUCACUGUGACCUUGGGCAAGUUCCAACCCCCAUAGCCUCCAUGGAAGGGCGGGGCCUCAGGAUCUGUCAGCCAGAGGACCUGCCUGUCCUAAAUCCACACUUCUUUUUGCAGAGCCCAGCAAAACCAGGCAAGACAGGCCUGCAGCCCUCAGGAGGGCUGUGUCCACGGUGGUAGCACAGCUGAGCAGCCUGAUUUCAGCAUCUUUAAACAAAGCCUCCAGAUGGAGCUCAUCUGCCUGCCGGGGAGGGCUGGAGGGCUGCUGAGCUAUCCUGGGCGGCUGCUCUCAGGGACCUUCCUCUAAUUGGAUCCCCUGGGAAGGGCCCUGGAAAGGAGAAACCCUCGACCCUGGCCAGCCCAUCCAUCCUUCCAUCCAUUUAUUCAUUCCUUGAGAACCCGUCGUGUGAACCAGGGUCCUGAGCUGGGGUCUGGGUGAGCAGGAGGAGGAAGGGCUGCACAGAUGGAGCACACGCUCGGGCGGGUGGAGAGGCCCACAGUCCUAGGCAGGCAGGGAUCCCUUGAAUAAUGCAGGAGGCAGAGCUAAGCAGGGUGGAGUGACCAAGCUCAGGCUUCUCUGAGGAGGUGAUAUUGAGGCUGAGGCCUGAAUGGCAAAAUAGAGCCAGCCACACCACAGUGCAGGGAGGGACUCCCAGAAGAGGAAACUGCAAGUGCAAAGGCCAAGAGACCUGGGGGCUGUUUAAAGACCAGCAGGGGACAGGGAAGCUUGGGGGUUUCAGCAGGUGCCUCUCAGGUAGGGCUUGUGGCUGUGGUAAGAAAAAAAUCUGUAUGUUACACCACAGGUGCUCGGAGGGGCCUGCCCCAAGCCUGCUGGAAAUGCCCCCUCUGCUGUGGCAGGGACUAAUGAUGCCACUCCUCUGUGCCCAGCCACUUUAUUAUUACUUAUUGGCCCACAUGAUCCUCCACCAGGAGGAACUGUUAGGCUUAUUUAACGGAUCAUGAAACUGAGGUUCCAAACAGCAAGCAGAGCUGGAUGUGAGCAGGAACAGUCAUUCCAGCUGAAUCCAGCCCUUACAACUAGUUUGUUUUACCUGCAUAGCUUUGAAAAGCUGAAUCUGUUGCCAACUCUAAAACAUUGGGAGGCUUCACAUGGAAGAUGUUUUGGCUUUUGGCAUCUCUUCAACAGUCUAUGGCACUAGGCUAUGGCUGUGAGCCCUGGCCCUGCACAGGGGUGUCUUCAGAUGCCCCUUCAAACCGGAGGAGAGAAGAAGGAGGAGCACAGCACCGCUCUCCCAAUCCCAUGCCCCUCUAGUGUCCUGCCCUGCUUGCCCAGCACCUGGGUUUGCCACGUGGGCCACCUCUGCUUGAGCCUACACAUCAUGGCGAGCCCCACCUUGCUCAGCUGACGAUGGACACAUAUGCUAGAGAUUCCCUGAAGGAACUAACGAUCCUCCCACACCACCCCCACCACUCCAAUUCUGUGACUGUCUCCUCACUGUCCUGCCGUCAGACCUGAGACUCCCAACUCCAACUUUCAAGAUGAGAAUAAUUCAGAGACUUUAAGAGCCAGAGACCAUGGAUGGGGCCAUCCUCGAAGGGGAGACUGAGGCCACUGGGGUUCAGGGCUGGCCAGCCUGUCACUCCUGGGGCUUCUGGAGACAUCCUGUGAAGAAGCACAUUCUUCCCUCACCCUGGGGCCCAGAGCCCCAGCUCUGCCUCCAUUUAUCUGUGACGCUUGGGCCACAGGCCUCAGUUUCCCCAGCUGUUCACUGACGGGAUCAUGGUGAAGCUCCUGGGAGCAUCUUGGCUCAUGUACCCAUUGUCUCAGGAGAGAAGCAGCUUGUCUCUCUGGGUUCAAACUCAGCCUCCAUUUUUAGCGUAUAACCUUGGGCAGGAGCUUAACAUCGCUGAAGCUUGGUUUCUUCAUCCAAAAAAGGAGAUAUAUUAUUGGGUUUAUUAUGAGAUUCCAGGAGAUGAUUCAAGAAAAGCCCUUAGCACAGAGCAAGUGUUCAGCAAACCUGAGCAAGAGGGGGGAAUUGUGAGCUGACCCGUGUACCCUCCCCAAGGACUUAGGCCAAGGUCAUGACCAACAGGCCAGUGUCCCAGAGAAGGCCAGGCUCCAGCCCUCCUCAUCCAGUGUCCACCUGCCUGAGUGAUACAGUCCCAAACUGAGGUCACCCUCCACUCCCAUGUCACUGAGUCCCUGCCAUGUGCCAGGUAUCCCCGUCAGCACUGGAGAGAGGUCCCGUGGAGAUGGAGACGAUGAGGGUGCUGCCCUGGAGUUCUAGGGGGAGCAGGGAGGGAAUAAAUAGGGGAGAGGAACUGAAACA
rnacentral:lncRNA from 13 species